CCAGCCAUGCCGCGUGCAGGAUGACGGUCCUAUGGAUUGUAAACUGCUUUUGUACGGGAAGAAACACUGGUUCGUGAACCAGCUUGACGGUACUGUAACAAUAAGGAUCGGCUAACUCCGUGCCAGCAGCCGCGGUAAUACGGAGGAUCCGAGCGUUAUCCGGAAUCAUUGGGUUUAAAGGGUCCGUAGGCGGUUUAAUAAGUCAGUGGUGAAAGCCCAUCUUUCAACUGUGGAACGGCCAUUGAUACUGUUAAACUUGAAUUAUUAGGAAGUAACUAGAAUAUGUAGUGUAUCGGUGAAAUGCUUAUAGAUUACAUGGAAUACCAAUUGCGAAGGCAGGUUACUACUAAUUGAUUGACGCUGAUGGACGAAAGCGUGGGUAGCGAACACGAUUACAUACCCUGGUAGUCCACGCCGUAAACGAUGGAUACUAUCUGUUGGACGCAAUUUCAGUGGCUAAGCGAAAGUGAUAAGUAUCCCACCUGGGGAGUACGUUCGCAAGAAUGAAACUCAAACGAAUUGACGGGGGCCCGCACAAGCGGUGGAGCAUGUGGUUUAAUUCGAUGAUACGCGAGGAACCUUACCAAGGCUUAAAUGUAGAUUGACCGGUUUGGAAACAGAUCU
rnacentral:rRNA from 1 species